GUUCGCUAUGUUCCUGGGCUUCAGCUAAUGUAAGUCAUUCUGUGUGUCCUAAAAAUAAGCCAUGGCUCCCAUGUAUCCACUGCUCACUAAGUGCCAAGCACUGGGUCACCCGUUUCACCUGCAUUGUCUCAUUUGCUCCCUGAGCUCUAUGAGAUAAAUGCUACCUAAUAGCUAUUUUACAGAUGAGAAAGUUGAGGCUUAGAGCCGUUAAAAACAGUGUCACAGGUCAACACCUAGUAAAGAGCAGAGCUGGAAUUCAAACCCACUCCCGCUAGUUCCAGAGCAUGUGUGCUUAACCCCUGAUGCCACCUGCUUUCUCUGCUGAAUGCCAGGCACCUGAGCUCAUCCCCACCCAGGCCUACCCUUCUCUAUCCCUUCUCAUCCCUACAGGCGUCUCUAGCACCUUCCUCCCUACCUUUCUCUUGCCAAGUUCCAGAACUCCCCUGCAUUCCAAGUCACUCAGAGCUUCGUGGAUUCAUUGCCUCCCUGUGUGCCUCCACAUCAUUCAUCCAGAGACGGGAGCCACGGCAGUUUGAUCAUCCAGCCAUCCACUCCUUCCAUCAUUCAUUCAUGGAGUCCUGGAAUGUCAGGGCUAGACGGGGCCUUCGAGAUUAUCUGGUCCAGUGGUUUUUAAACCAGGACACGUUUUUCAAAGGAAGGCUUCUGUGGAAGUUCUAUAGAGAAAUCAGAUCAACGCAGGCAGUGGGGAGUCGGGGGUGGUGUCCAGAGUGUCCUGUCUUCUCACCCCCUUGACCCUGACAGUUGGUUGGGGGCUGUGUCCAGACACCCACUCCAUGAGAACAUGUUGCCUUCAGUCACAAACUGUUGCAGCAACUCAUUCUCGCACAGACCUGGGCCCUAACCUCAGCUGCCACUCUCCACUCACAAAGCUACAUGACCUUGGGCAAGCAAAUCAUGUAAACUUGAGGCCCUCCAUCUAUUUCCUCCCCUGAAAAAUGGGAAUAAUAACAGGACCUACCAGUUUUAUUUUUCUAUUGCUGUGUAACAAAGCAUCCCAAAACAUAGUGGCUUCAAACAACCAUUGUGCUGUCUCUCCUAGUGCGUGUGCCGCUGGGCUCAGCUUGCCGGUUCCUUUGCUGGUCUCUCAUUGUUGCAGUCGAGGGUGGCAGCCAUCUGGAGGACCGAUCUGGAUGCUGGGAUGGCCGGGCCUCCUGCUCUCCGUGAACCCUCAGGAGCUCGCCUGAGGUCUCCAGCUGGAUUACCAGUCGUCUUACACGGCGGCUCAGAGCUCCCAGAAGCACACAAAUGGAAGCUUCCAGGCCUUCCUAAGACUUAGGCCCAGAAAUAGCACAGCCUCACUUCUGCCACAUCCUAUUGGUUAAAUUCAAGGGGAAGAGAAAUAAAUGCCACUUCUUGGUGGAGGAGUGACCAAGAAUUUGCAGUCACCUUUAACCCACAACAGUCUGUGUGACUCUGGGAAGGAAAAUUACUUAACCUUUCUGAUUUUCCAUCCGUGUUCUCAUCUGUGAAGAACAGAUACAUCGAUUCAUGGAAAGUAGUUGGAACAGUGCCUGGCCCAUAAUCUCUGUGCUGCCACUUUAUGGAUGUGCCUUUGAGACCCUGAAAGAUGCUUAGCCUCUCUUGGCCUCAGUUUCCCUUCUGUAACGUGGGCAUGUCUCGUAAGCCUCAAGUGAAGAGUAAAUGAUUUAUUUCCUAUAAAGAGCCGCAGCGUUAGAUGUGUGAUUCCACGGAAAGAUCCUUUCCAGAGGUUGUCCAGUCUCUCCCUGAAGAUGUCACAUCCUCUCCAGGCCAUUUUGCAGAUGCUCCUCACUUGAUGACCUGUCUCAGCAGACCAGCCAUGCCCAGUGUCAGGAAGGAGAUCCUGCUUGACUGUAGGGGAAGAAACUAGAUGAAGAAAAGUUCCCCAAAGAGUGAACUCUGCAAGUUUCGGAGAAUGAUUUGCAUGGAGAAAGGCAGGAUUGAAGUGGCUGGAGCCUGUGACUUUGUCUUUGCCAUCUCUAUGCGUCAUUGUUUAUUUUUGAACCUACUGUUUAAACACCGGAAUGUUUAGAACUACAGGAGCUCAUGAGAACUGUGACCGAAAGCAGCUCUAAUGACUCUGAAUUGUUACAAACUUCCUCUCGAAAUGGAGUGUAGCCGGGUUCUGUGUGUUCCGGCCUGACUAUAUACGCGGGAGUUCUUCAAAUGAACUCCCGUGCCUCGGCCGAUCCUUAUGGAAGGAUAAGUAAUAGAGACGCGCUCACUGGAAGCUCACGUAGAUGGUACUGAAACUCAACAGUAACCACAGCAAUUACUUAGAACACAGCACAACAGAAGACUUUUUUCAGGGACAAGUAUUUUAUCACUGACACAGAAUUGCUGGCGCACGGUGAUAAGAAAAAGGCAGAUUGACUUGGAGGCAAUUUUAUUAUUGUUUUAAAGUUCUUUACAGACAAUGAACCCUUUCAUUGCCUGCAGCCAAGGUGGACGGCUCCCACUGUCCCCACCCCUGCUUCUCCAUUGGGGUUUGCACAUUCGCAGCCCCAAAUUCCAGAAACCUUUGAUCCAAACCCUUCCCAAUCCAGGCAAGUUAAGAAAACAAAGGCAAAUAGCAAUACAUUUAAAUCAUCAUCAUUGUUGUUGUUGU